CUUCCCAUUUAUUUGCUGCUGUAGUCUCUCAGUGAUAUGAGCAGUUAUACGCAUGGGAUAAAACAAUAUUGGGCCACUGCAGGUUGAGGUGAAGCAUUUCAUCUCCUCUGCCUGGUCUAGACAUUG